rnacentral:rRNA from 1 species
CACGUAGGGCGCAAGCGUUGUCCGGAAUUAUUGGGCGUAAAGAGCUCGUAGGCGGUCUGUUGCGUCCGCUGUGAAAACCCGGGGCUUAACCCUGGGCUGGCAGUGGAUACGGACAGACUAGAGGUAGGUAGGGGAGAAUGGAAUUCCCGGUGUAGCGGUGAAAUGCGCAGAUAUCGGGAGGAACACCGGUGGCGAAGGCGGUUCUCUGGGCCUUACCUGACGCUGAGGCACGAAAGCGUGGGGAGCAAACAGG